rnacentral:misc_RNA from 1 species
ACGCGCCACCGCCACGCGCUCCACAGCAUUCUGGCCAUCACCAUCUUUGCGCCUCUUCUCUCUUCGCUGCCUGAGACAUCCACGGCGCCCUCUCGGCCAGCGGCUCUUUUCGCUUCAUCGCCUGCUCUCCUUCUCGCUGCCGUGGAAGGAGUUGCAUGUCGUAAGCUGAAUACCGGAGCAGGUGCACGCACGCAGACGCAGAGACAAGACGGCAACUGCACCUGCAGGUGGUUGUCGUUCACAGUUGCCGACACCAGCACUGUUGCUGUCGACAGCUGAUUCUCUUCUUAUUAUCUCUCUACCUCCCUCCCUUGAGCUUUUGGUUCUGUGGGGAGUUUUGCGCUAUACGCCAGCGGUGCUUGCGUAUGCAUGUGAGCGAGCAGCACCUCUCUCCCCCUCCCCUCCCCUCGUUCCCCCUUCUAUACACGCCUGCUAUCGUUUUUCUUUCAUUGCUUCGCGCUUGUGCUCCAUUCUCCCACUUCUCGUAUCUCUACUCUUCCACAUCUAG